UACGUAGGGUGCAAGCGUUAAUCGGAAUUACUGGGCGUAAAGCGUGCGCAGGCGGUUUUGUAAGUCUGUCGUGAAAUCCCCGGGCUCAACCUGGGAAUUGCGAUGGAGACUGCAAAGCUGGAGUCUGGCAGAGGGGGGUAGAAUUCCACGUGUAGCAGUGAAAUGCGUAGAGAUGUGGAGGAAUACCGAUGGCGAAGGCAGCCCCCUGGGAUAACACUGACGCUCAUGCACGAAAGCGUGGGGAGCAAACAGG
rnacentral:rRNA from 1 species